UACGGGGGGAGCAAGCGUUGUUCGGAUUUACUGGGCGUAAAGGGCGCGUAGGCGGUCAGCACAAGUCAGUUGUGAAAUCUCCGGGCUUAACUCGGAAAGGUCAACUGAUACUGUGCGACUAGAGUGCAGAAGGGGCAACUGGAAUUCUCGGUGUAGCGGUGAAAUGCGUAGAUAUCAGGAGGAACACCGGUGGCGAAGGCGGGUCUCUGGGCAACAACUAACGCUGAGGAGCGAAAGCGUGGGGAGCGAACAGG
rnacentral:rRNA from 1 species